UCUGGAGAGAGCUGGCGUUAAUUUACUGAGUGUGCUGUUUAAAUGAUUGUUUGUUAUAGUGUUUCAAGGUGUAUUUUCUACUUGUGUGUGUUCAGUAACAAGGAUGGCUUUUCUUACUGCUGUGGUGAACAUCACAGCUUGUUGUCACAAUGGAUAAUGUGCACAAAACAUAAAAUAUGGACAGACAAUAAUUACAGGCUAGUCCAACUUAUAUAGUCUGACAUUCUCCUGAGAGUCGUUGGAAGAGCCAUUAACACAGCGAGGACCUGAGUUGGUGCAGCUUGCUCAUGCAAUUAGUGAUGACCACAGGCCUGCAUGACCCGCUUCUACUGACUCUCCGACAAUUAUGUAAACUAGAAGGGCACUAGGUGUUUCUUUUCGCAUAACCCUGCUCACAGACACAAUCCUUGGCAGAGAUGAAGAUCUGUUUAUAUCCAGUACCCUGAGAACAUAUGGAAAGGCACAGGUGUGUAAAUUAUACAAGGGUUGGUUAUCUCUGUGUUUGCCUUGGGUCUUAUUCUG